rnacentral:rRNA from 1 species
UACAGAGGUGGCAAGCGUUGUUCGGAAUUACUGGGCGUAAAGGGCGCGUAGGCGGUCUUGCAAGUCCCGUGUGAAAUCCCCCGGCUCAACUGGGGAAUGGCACGGGAAACUGCUUGGCUUGAGUUCGGGAGAGGGAAGCGGAAUUCCGGGUGUAGCGGUGAAAUGCGUAGAUAUCCGGAGGAACACCGGUGGCGAAGGCGGCUUCCUGGACCGACACUGACGCUAAGGCGCGAAAGCUAGGGGAGCAAACGGG